rnacentral:rRNA from 1 species
UACGAAGGGGGCUAGCGUUGCUCGGAAUCACUGGGCGUAAAGCGCACGUAGGCGGAUUGUUAAGUCAGGGGUGAAAUCCUGGAGCUCAACUCCAGAACUGCCUUUGAUACUGGCGAUCUUGAGUCCGGGAGAGGUGAGUGGAACUGCGAGUGUAGAGGUGAAAUUCGUAGAUAUUCGCAAGAACACCAGUGGCGAAGGCGGCUCACUGGCCCGAUACUGACGCUGAGGUGCGAAAGCGUGGGGAGCAAACAGGG